CUACUACACUUCAUACGAGCAAGUGUGCUAAUAUACAUGAAGACUUGGGUUAUAUUUUUUUCUGAAAACUAGGCUACAACUUUAGUGAUGAAUGCAGAAGAUAUCUACACGAGACUACGUCUUAAAGAUUCCACCCUCAUAUAAUGAAAGAGGACAAUAGAGAUGGGUUUAAACUGGAAUAUUUACAUGAUAUUUAUUUGUUAUUUGUAUUAUAUGUUUGUAGAAUACUACAUUCAAUAAAGCUAAUUAAGUUUAUCAUCUUGUCGACUUUCAAACAAUUAAAGAUAACUAAUCCUCAACGAAUAAACAUUAAAAUUCUAACAAUGUCAACUACCAUCUUAUAGGAUGAUACUAAGGACUGGGCAGAAAGAUUCUCCUUCAUAUUUGAGUGAUAAAGGUCUAUCAGUCUAUAUUAAAGAUUGAAUUAAUCAAUGAUAUUUUGAUUAUAAUUAUACAUGUUAAAAUUCAUUUACCUCUAUGGAUUUCUGUAUGGGAAGUUUUGUAGAUUAUGAAAUUAUUGCUACUUCAAGUAUUGUAUGUAAGAAGGUUUGAAAGACAACACUCUAAAUGCAUUAAAUAUGGAAACUGCUAAUCCUCAUUGCCUUUCGUAUCCAAACUGCUAGCUUUAAAAGAAUCAUGUUUUGAUGCUUCCCAACUUAAGAAAACAGGGAGUGAGGGGGGGGGGGCUUGCUAUCCUCUUCCAGGUCCUGUUACUACAUGGUCUAUUUAACAGGUUGCAAAAGUGUACAAAUAUGAUCAUAUGUUUAUAUUAGAAGGAUUUAGAAAGUGAAAUUUUGAAUUAAAGCAUUACUGUUGGUAGAAGUAAUAGCAGUGUCGAUUGUUAAUGGGAAGGGGGGGGUUCUUGGUGAAAUUUACGGUACGCCAACGUCAAAUUAAUAAAAAAGAGAAAACUAUUCUUAAAAAUAAAAA